rnacentral:rRNA from 1 species
AUCCUGGCUCAGAUUGAACGCUGGCGGCAUGCCUUACACAUGCAAGUCGAACGGUAACAGGUCUUUCGGGAUGCUGACGAGUGGCGAACGGGUGAGUAAUACAUCGGAACGUGCCUAGUAGUGGGGGAUAACUACUCGAAAGAGUGGCUAAUACCGCAUGAGAUCUAUGGAUGAAAGCAGGGGACCUUCGGGCCUUGUGCUACUAGAGCGGCCGAUGGCAGAUUAGGUAGUUGGUGGGAUAAAAGCUUACCAAGCCUACGAUCUGUAGCUGGUCUGAGAGGACGAUCAGCCACACUGGGACUGAGACACGGCCCAGACUCCUACGGGAGGCAGCAGUGGGGAAUUUUGGACAAUGGGGGAAACCCUGAUCCAGCAAUGCCGCGUGCAGGAUGAAGGCCUUCGGGUUGUAAACUGCUUUUGUACGGAACGAAAAGUCUUGGGUUAAUAC